rnacentral:rRNA from 1 species
UGCGCAGGCGGUUAUGCAAGACAGAUGUGAAAUCCCCGGGCUCAACCUGGGAACUGCAUUUGUGACUGCAUAGCUAGAGUACGGUAGAGGGGGAUGGAAUUCCGCGUGUAGCAGUGAAAUGCGUAGAUAUGCGGAGGAACACCGAUGGCGAAGGCAAUCCCCUGGACCUGUACUGACGCUCAUGCACGAAAGCGUGGGGAGCAAACAGGAUUAGAUACCCUGGUAGUCCACGCCCUAAACGAUGUCAACUGGUUGUUGGGAGGGUUUCUUCUCAGUAACGAAGCUAACGCGUGAAGUUGACCGCCUGGGGAGUACGGCCGCAAGGUUGAA